UGGGGAAGGGCUGUAGCUCGGUGGUUGAGGAUUUGCUUUUGAAGCAAAAGAUCCUGGGUUCAAUCCCUGGCCCCUUAA